rnacentral:rRNA from 1 species
UACGGAGGGUGCAAGCGUUAUUCGGAGUGACUGGGCGUAAAGCGCGUGUAGGCGGCUUGUUAAGUCUGGUGUGAAAUCCCUGGACUCAAUCCAGGAAGUGCAUUGGAUACUGGCAAGCUAGAGUAUGGGAGAGGAGAGCGGAAUUCCUGGUGUAGAGGUGAAAUUCGUAGAUAUCAGGAGGAACAACAGAGGCGAAGGCGGCUCUCUGGACCAUUACUGACGCUGAGGCGCGAAAGCGUGGGGAGCAAACAGG